rnacentral:rRNA from 1 species
AUACGGAGGGUCCGAGCGUUAUCCGGAAUCAUUGGGUUUAAAGGGUCCGUAGGCGGGAAUCUAAGUCAGUGGUGAAAUCUUGCAGCUCAACUGUAAAAUUGCCAUUGAUACUGGAUUUCUUGAAUUAGUGUGAAGUGAUUAGAAUGUGUAGUGUAGCGGUGAAAUGCAUAGAUAUUACACAGAAUACCAAUUGCGAAGGCAGAUCACUAACACUAUAUUGACGCUGAGGGACGAAAGCGUGGGGAGCGAACAGGAUUAGAUACCCCUGUAGUCC